GCUGACGCUACGUUAUUUAAUUUGUUUUGUGAUUUUCUGCGUGAAAAUAAUGCCAAAAGCGCUAAAAUGUGAUGCAAGAAAAGUAAUACUAGAUAUAUUGGCUUUUAUUCAGGAAAAAUAACGUAUUCAGACGCCUUUAAUUCCGUUUGAAAAAUUGAAAGAACGAGUUGCAGCGGCUACAGGUGUGAGUGAAGCUGCGUACCUAUACCUUAGCCAGUAUACCAAGAAGAAUUUCUCGCACCUGCA